rnacentral:rRNA from 1 species
AAGGAAUAUUGGACAAUGGAGGCAACUCUGAUCCAGCCAUGCCGCGUGAAGGAAUAAGGCCCUAUGGGUUGUAAACUUCUUUUAGACGGGACAAAACCCCUUUACGUGUAAAGGGUUGAUGGUACUGUCAGAAUAAGCAUCGGCUAACUUCGUGCCAGCAGCCGCGGUAAUACGAAGGAUGCAAGCGUUAUCCGGAAUUAUUGGGUUUAAAGGGUGCGUAGGCGGACUAAUAAGUCAGUGGUGAAAGCCUGCAGCUUAACUGCAGAAUUGCCAUUGAUACUGUUAGUCUUGAGUACAGUUGAGGUAGGCGGAAUGUGUCAUGUAGCGGUGAAAUGCUUAGAUAUGACACAGAACACCGAUUGCGAAGGCAGCCUGCUAAGCUGUAACUGACGCUGAGGCACGAAAGCGUGGGGAGCAAACA